rnacentral:rRNA from 1 species
UACGUAGGGGGCGAGCGUUAUCCGGAUUUAUUGGGCGUAAAGCGUGCGUAGGCGGUUUAUUAAGUUUAAGAUAAAAGCCCGAGGCUUAACUUCGGUUCGUCUUAAAAACUGGUAGACUUGAGUGUGGUAGAGGUAAAUGGAAUUUCUAGUGUAGCGGUGAAAUGCGUAGAUAUUAGAAGGAACACCAGUGGCGAAGGCGAUUUACUGGGCCACAACUGACGCUCGAGCACGAAAGCGUGGGUAGCAAAUA